UACAGAGGGUGCGAGCGUUGUUCGGAAUUAUCGGGCGUAAAGGGCGCGUAGGCGGCGCGGUAUGUCACCUGUGAAAUCUCCUGGCUCAACUGGGAGCUUGCAGGCGAAACUGCCGUGCUGGAGUGUGGGAGAGGUGCGUGGAAUUCCUGGUGUAGCGGUGAAAUGCGUAGAUAUCAGGAGGAACACCUGUGGCGAAAGCAGCGCACUGGACCACAACUGACGCUGAGGCGCGAAAGCUAGGGGAGCAAACAGG
rnacentral:rRNA from 1 species